rnacentral:lncRNA from 1 species
GCGAUACAUAGCAAUGUUGAUGUCAAAAUUUCGUCAACAAAUAUUGGUGUGACCUUAGUUUGGCAACAAUGGUGAAUUUGUAAUUUUGGGAUAAGUUGAUCUGCAAAAAUCCGAAUAAGGUUGGGCACACUGAUGUGGUGUAAACUACACUGGUUUCGGUACUUAGUAAGUUUACAAGAAAAUCUGUAAUGAAAGUAUAAUCAAAUGCACAUAAGACAACGUACCUUCUUUGUGCUUCCAUCAUCCUUCUAUUUAUAAGGUCCUAUCUUUUCUUUUCACAGUAGGUUUUCUUCAAUCGUCAUCCAUGUUAGCUUUCGAGAUCUGGACCCUCCUUGACCCAAAGUUGAGCCUUCCAUUAUAGGUGUCGGUUAAUUUCCUGUAAUGACCCAAAUUUUUAAUAACCAAGCUGGAGUCAUUACUAAUCUAAUUAUCUUUAACUUUCUAAAAACAAUAACGGAAGCAUAAACCAAGUAGUUCCUAUAUGGCUAGUCACAGGUUCUUCUUCUUGUCGCUCGUUAGCUUGCCUUUCCUCUUACCUUUGUCUGAAAAGUUAAACAUGAAAAUGGUGAGUAUAAAUAUAGUACACACAGUAAGGGAUUCACUACUGGUCUUGCUAGGUAAACCGAUAACUUCCUAUUAGGAGGUACCCUGAGUCGUCAUAUCAGUCUAGUGAUCUCGUAGGAACACAAAUCAGGCAUCAAGUGAACCUAAACGUACACUUAACAGUCAAUCAGUCAUCAAUAUCAGUCUAAAGGUAGUGAUCUCGAGGGACUUCGUACAUGUGCAGAGUACACUAGCCUAAGAACUAAAGGUAACAACUACCAUUAGACCAAAUAGGCAUAUUGCAAUCAAACUUAGUCUAAUAAUAGGCAUAAACAUAACAUGCAAUAUCAACCAACAAACUUCAUAGUUACGUAUUCAGUAAAAUAAAUAAAUCAAUACAAUUUUUGUCAAACUCUCACAUAAGACUAUCAAUGCAUUUUAAUUAUGUGCAUGUUAGUCAAUCCAUACAAUACAACUUAAAUCUUAAAUCGAAGGUUCGGUAGUAGAAAUCUCUUACCUCAAAAUAGAAUUAAACUCCUUUGCAAAGUUCCUUGAUGCAAAUCAAACCACAAAUUAACCUAAACAUAAGUAAAAUAAUUAAUAAUUUUACUUAACAAAAUUAUCAAUUAUGGUCAAAUAGUAAUCCUUGAUAGGCAUGCAAAAAGCAUCGUACUUUUUACCGUAAGCAUUCCUAAGUUACCACAGGUUACUCAAAUUCAUUGCACUUUACACAUUCCACGAUAGCCUUAGACCAAACCAAUUACUACCCUUAAUAAACUAUCAGUAACUCAUAAUUAAGUCAAUAGUUAUCCAUCACAAUUAUUACAGUAACACAUAGGAUAUGCAAAUAACUCUCCAUAACAGUUAUCAAAGUACCCCAUAAGCCAAAUAAACAAUUCAUCAACAAUGGACUUGCAGUAAACUAAUUGACAACAUACCAUAUUAGUAAUCCAUAGUAGGCAUGUAAACAAUCAUCAUACUUCACAACCAUCAGAGUCUAAUUCACAACAUACUAUAUCAGUAAUUCAUAAUAGACAUGUAAAUAAUUAUCAUACUUCACAACAAGCAUAGACAAUUUCCAUUGUAAGCAUACGCAAAUAAUUAUCUUGUACACCUUAACCUAAUUCAAUGACUACCCUUCACAAUUUAAUUAAAGCUAACCUUAGGUUAUACAGAUAAUUCACCAUUACAAACAUAUCACAGACUAUGCAUAAAGUCGUAUCACCAUUAAUUAUCACAGCGUAACUGAACCCUUAAUCGAGUAUCCAGUAGUAGAAUAACUCUUACCUUAGGUUAUGCUAAGUUCCUUUGUUGCAAAUGAAAACCACAAUUUUACUUAUGCAUAACCAAAAUUAAAUUAACGAUUUUCAACAAAUUACUAAUUUAAUUACCUUAGCUUACCAAAUGGAAGUUGAAAAUGCUCUCAAUCUUGAUGGAAAAAUUCAUCACUUAAAUCCAUGUUUUUUCAAAGGGACCUUCCAAACGUAUGCAACCAAAAUCAAUUUUAAUAAUAAACUUAAUUUAGAGUUUCUCAAUUCACUUUUAUUGGGUAUUAAAAUCCUACACAAAGACAAAAAACACUCAAGCAACUCACCAAUCUUAAACCAAAUCGGUGAGCAUGAUGACAGACAACACACAACUCAUCCAGAUGAGGUUGGACGAAGAAGAAAGCGAUAUCGAAGAACAACGAAGAAGAAUUAAGGGAGAGAGUUAGCAACUCGAGUACGUUGGGGAAAAAGAUGAAUAUAUUUU